UUGAGGAAGGUAUAUGGUGGGUUUGUGCACUGGCGAAAGUUGCGCGACACUAGAGAGGCUAUCAAUGGUGGAAGGUGAAAGUGCAUCUAUACCAUGGACUCACAUUAGUCAUGAAGAACUCAUAUACUUAUUGCGGAAGUUUUAUUAGUAAUCGAAACAAAGUGCUAAAUGCAUACUCCUAGGGGAAGGGUUGGUAGGUGUCAACCAUCGCGCGAUCCCGACCGCCACACAAAGGAUGACAAUCAAUAAAUCAAUUAUGCUCCGACUUCAUAACAUAGCGGUUCACCAUACGUGCAUGCUACGGGAAUCACUAACUUCAACACAAGUAUUUCUAGAUUCACAACACCCUACUAACAUAACUCUAAUAUUACCAAAUCCAUAUCUUAAAACUUAAUUUUUAGGA
rnacentral:lncRNA from 1 species